AAAUUGAACCUAACUGAAUACACAAGUUUAAAUGGAAAGAGAUUUUUUUAUUGCUUUUCUGUACUUAUGCACUGGCUUCCCAACUAGAAAAACUUCUCUUCAGUCUGAUUAUGUCUGAAAACAAUAGUUUUAGAGGUUUAAUCCCUAUUUUGGAGUCCAAGCAAGUAGUAAAUUGUUUAUAUAUAAGGCCCAGAUGGAAAUCACUGGCAUCAGGAAGAACUGAAAUCCCCAGCUGAGAUAAAGCAGAAGACUUCCAGGCAGAAGAAAUCAGAAUCGGACCUACUAGUGCUGCCAUCUGUUCCUCUGCACUCUUAGAGUUUGUGGCUCCCAUCAGACCCGGGGAAUUGUCCAGCUGUGAGUUUCUGUUUUACUGGGAUUGAAUUCCAUCAAUGUCCCUGACUUCCAGGCUUUGACCAUCAUCCUAUGAUGGUUGCCUCUAUCAGACAUCUCUGUUCUUUGCUUUAUAAUAUGUAUUUAUUAACAAUAAUAAAGUUAAUUCAACUGAGUCUAACUAUGAUCA
ensembl:lncRNA